rnacentral:lncRNA from 1 species
UUUGGUUUUUCAUUCAGAGCAAGGACGUAUAAACAAGAGCAAAAUAACUGCUCUUUUGGACCACUGCAAAUCAGAAAGGAGAAACGGCUGUUUGUGGACCACCGUCCUUGAAAAGAAGGAGAGGAAGGAGCAGUUACAGCUUUGCUUUUUGGAAAAACACAGUGAAGGGGACGCUUGACUACGGAGUUCAGUAGGUCGCCUUGGGCUCGGAGUCAGUGGGUUGACCUUUCACGGUGCGGUGCUCGACAUGCCCCUCACCGCCCCCCGCGCAAGGUGCGCUGCCGGGGAACGCCGGGAACGCUGAGCCACUCCAAGGAAGCAGUGCGGGAAAGGUCAAAGUACGGCACAACAU